GCGCACGCCAAGUGACGCUCCGAGGAGGAAGCGCAGCCCCCUUCCCCUCCCUCGCUGCCCCUGGCCCAGCGGGAGCCCCCCCUCCCCCCAGUGCGCCUGUGCGGAGGCCCUCUUGAUUAUGUGUGCCCUCUCCGGGCGCCCGCGUUAGCGGCCGGGUGGAGGUGGGGAGGGAAGACGCUGAGGAGGAGGAGGAGGCGGAGGAGGCGGUGGAGGGGAGGUGGGGGGAAUCAGCAAGGACAUGGCUCCUGACUCCUGUGCGGAACAUGGUCUCUAGCGACCGGCCCGUGUCACUGGAGGACGAGGUCUCCCAUAGUAUGAAGGAGAUGAUUGGAGGCUGUUGCGUUUGCUCAGACGAGAGAGGCUGGGCCGAGAACCCGCUGGUUUAUUGCGACGGGCACGGCUGCAGCGUCGCGGUGCAUCAAGCUUGCUAUGGCAUUGUUCAAGUACCCACUGGACCGUGGUUUUGCAGGAAAUGUGAAUCUCAGGAGAGAGCAGCCAGAGUGACUCUACUUCAUGAGGCUGGAACCAUGACUGCUGGCAGCUCUUGUUUCCAGCCCCUUUUACCAGAAGAAGGGGCUCUCUAGAAGAAUCCUGGAAAGGACUCUGAUUGGCCUGUCUUGGAUCAUGUGCCCAUCAUCUCUGUGGCUGGAGUGGGGAGGGUACUGUGAAUGGCAACCCUCACUAGAACUACAUAGUUGGAGUCAGGGAGAUGUGAACUUUGUCCCCAUAAGGAUGGAGCUUUAAAAAGAACAGAUAAUGGGGGUUGGGCCCAUGUGGUUUGUGCCCUGUAUAUUCCAGAGGUACAAUUUGCCAAUGUUUCCACAAUGGAACCAAUUGUUUUACAGUCUGUUCCGCAUGAUCGUUAUAAUAAGACUUGCUACAUUUGUGAUGAACAAGGAAGAGAAAGCAAAGCAGCCACUGGUGCUUGCAUGACAUGUAAUAAACAUGGAUGUCGACAGGCUUUCCAUGUAACAUGCGCUCAGUUUGCCGGACUGCUUUGUGAAGAAGAAGGUAAUGGUGCCGAUAAUGUCCAAUACUGUGGCUACUGUAAAUACCAUUUUAGUAAGCUGAAAAAGAGCAAACGGGGAUCUAAUAGGUCAUAUGAUCAAAGUUUAAGUGAUUCUUCCUCUCACUCUCAGGAUAAACAUCAUGAGAAAGAGAAAAAAAAAUAUAAAGAGAAGGACAAACACAAACAGAAACACAAGAAGCAGCCAGAACCAUCACCUGCAUUGGUUCCAUCCUUGACUGUUACUACAGAAAAAACUUAUACAAGCACUAGCAACAACUCUAUAUCUGGAUCAUUGAAGCGCUUGGAAGAUACUACUGCACGAUUUACAAAUGCAAAUUUCCAGGAAGUCUCUGCACACACCUCUAGUGGAAAAGAUGUUUCAGAGACUAGAGGGUCAGAGGGCAAAGGGAAGAAAUCUUCAGCUCACAGCUCAGGUCAAAGGGGAAGAAAGCCUGGUGGUGGAAGAAAUCCAGGAACAACUGUGUCAGCAGCUAGCCCUUUUCCUCAAGGCAGUUUUUCAGGAACUCCAGGCAGUGUAAAGUCAUCUUCUGGAAGUUCAGUGCAGUCUCCCCAGGAUUUCCUGAGCUUUACAGACUCAGAUCUGCGUAAUGACAGUUACUCUCACUCCCAACAGUCAUCAGCAACCAAAGAUGUACAUAAAGGAGAGUCUGGAAGCCAGGAAGGGGGGGUAAAUAGUUUUAGUACCUUAAUUGGCCUCCCUUCAACCUCAGCUGUUACUUCACAGCCUAAAAGCUUUGAAAAUUCACCUGGAGAUUUGGGUAAUUCCAGCCUUCCUACAGCAGGAUAUAAGCGGGCUCAAACUUCUGGCAUAGAAGAAGAAACUGUAAAGGAAAAGAAAAGGAAAGGAAAUAAACAAAGUAAGCAUGGGCCUGGCAGACCCAAAGGAAACAAAAAUCAAGAGAAUGUUUCUCAUCUCUCAGUUUCUUCUGCUUCACCAACAUCAUCUGUAGCAUCAGCUGCAGGAAGCAUAACAAGCUCUAGUCUGCAGAAAUCUCCUACAUUGCUCAGGAAUGGAAGUUUACAGAGCCUCAGUGUUGGCUCAUCUCCAGUUGGUUCAGAAAUUUCCAUGCAGUAUCGGCAUGAUGGAGCUUGCCCAACAACUACGUUCUCAGAGUUGCUGAAUGCAAUACACAACGACAGAGGUGACAGUUCUACACUAACAAAGCAAGAACUUAAAUUCAUAGUAAACUGAGUACCAGAUAUUGUUUCAAAGUGUGAUUACUGGAUUGCACAUUUAGCUGCGUAAUUUCGUAUGUAUUUAUAACAGCAAUGAUGUAGCAGUAUCGUUUCCAAAUGUAGUAUCUGGCUCGGGAUCUAGUACUCCUGUCUCCAGCUCUCACUUACCUCAGCAGUCUUCUGGGCAUUUGCAACAAGUAGGAGCGCUCUCUCCCUCAGCUGUGUCAUCUGCAGCCCCUGCUGUUGCUACAACUCAGGCAAAUACUCUAUCUGGAUCUUCUCUCAGUCAGGCACCAUCUCAUAUGUAUGGCAAUAGAUCAAAUUCAUCAAUGGCAGCUCUUAUAGCUCAGUCUGAAAACAAUCAAACAGAUCAAGAUCUUGGAGACAAUAGCCGCAACCUAGUUGGCAGAGGAAGCUCACCCCGAGGAAGUCUCUCGCCACGAUCCCCUGUAAGCAGCUUACAGAUUCGCUAUGAUCAACCAGGCAACAGCAGUUUGGAAAAUCUGCCUCCAGUAGCAGCCAGCAUAGAACAGCUUUUGGAGAGGCAGUGGAGUGAAGGACAGCAAUUUUUACUAGAACAGGGUACUCCUAGUGACAUUUUAGGAAUGCUGAAGUCAUUACACCAACUUCAAGUUGAAAACCGAAGAUUAGAGGAACAAAUUAAAAACUUGACUGCCAAAAAGGAACGGCUUCAGUUAUUGAAUGCACAGCUUUCAGUGCCUUUUCCAACAAUAACAGCAAAUCCUAGUCCGUCUCAUCAAAUACACACAUUUUCAGCACAGACUGCUCCUACUACUGAUUCCUUGAACAGCAGUAAGAGCCCUCAUAUAGGAAACAGCUUUUUACCUGAUAAUUCUCUUCCUGUAUUAAAUCAGGACUUAACCUCCAGUGGACAAAGUACCAGCAGCUCAUCAGCUCUUUCUACCCCACCUCCUGCUGGGCAGAGUCCGGCUCAACAAGGCUCAGGAGUGAGUGGAGUUCAGCAGGUCAAUGGCGUGACAGUGGGGGCACUAGCUAGUGGAAUGCAGCCUGUAACUUCCACCAUUCCUGCCGUGUCUGCAGUGGGUGGAAUAAUUGGAGCUUUGCCAGGUAACCAACUGGCAAUUAAUGGCAUUGUAGGAGCUUUAAAUGGGGUUAUGCAGACUCCUGUCACAAUGUCCCAGAACCCUACCCCUCUCACCCACACAACCGUACCACCUAAUGCAACACAUCCAAUGCCAGCUACACUGACUAACAGUGCCUCAGGACUAGGAUUACUUUCUGACCAGCAACGACAAAUACUUAUUCAUCAACAGCAGUUUCAGCAGUUGUUAAAUUCUCAACAGCUCACACCAGAACAACAUCAAGCCUUUUUGUAUCAGUUAAUGCAACAUCACCACCAGCAGCACCACCAACCUGAACUUCAGCAGCUGCAGAUCCCUGGACCAACACAAAUACCCAUAAACAACCUUCUUGCAGGUACACAGGCACCCCCACUUCACACAGCUACCACCAACCCAUUUCUCACCAUCCAUGGAGAUAAUGCAAGUCAGAAAGUAGCAAGACUUAGUGAUAAAACUGGGCCUGUAGCUCAAGAGAAAAGUUGACACCUGAGAAACAUCUAGAAAUUGCCUAUCCUGCUGUUCUAGCACUUCAUCUGGCUGCCUUUGCAGUCCUUUUACUACAGCUAUGAAGAAACGCAACAAGAAACUCAAUGCACAACAAAGGAUUAAUUGCUGCAAGGACAUUCUUGUAAGGCUUUGAUUAGUUUUCUUGUUGCUUUGUUGCACUGAAAUGGAAUUCCCAUGCCCCUACCCCUUACCCCAGUUUUUUGAACAUGGAAAGAAAAUUUAAUAACUUUUUAAAGUGACAUAAUUUACAUGCAAUAUGUUUAUCAACUCAAGAAUUUAAUAUAGUUGGUACACAACUAGUUUUGUUUAUAAAUUGGAGAUGCAAAUAGCAAAACUAAAUACUUGCUCCAUUUACAAACUACUUGAUUUUAUUGUACAAGUUGAAAUAUGCUCUUUUGUUUGGGUUACAGUAUGCUUGCUCUAAGUCAAAUUCCAAGGAACUAAUUUCUUCUCCUGGAGUUGCAUUGAUUCAGUAUUACAAAUAUAUAGCACAUCACCUGGGACUUGGCAAUCUUUGUUAAAAAAAAAUUUCCUUUCUAAUGGGAUUUGGCCAAUUUUGGUAAUGAAGUUAGGAUGGUAAUGUCUGCAUCUGCUAAAGGUAAUUUUCUUUUGAGAAUUGCUUUCUUUAGUGUUAAGACCUACUCAUAUUUUGAAGAAAUCUUGAGUUAAGUGAGUUCUGAGGCUGCUGGGGGAACCAGAUCAAUUCAAAGCUAAAUACUUCUUUCAGAAAGGGGCCACUGUGGAAAGUGCUGGUGGGGUUUGCCCUUGAUCAAGUGCCUCCAUUGUGCUGCAAGGGCUGUAGACAGCAGGGUGGGACAGUCAGUCCUCCGAGCAGCAGGAAUCAUCCCGUCACCUGCAGCCUUCCCAUGCUUCCGCCUUUAUUCAGAACUUUCUGUGCCACUGUAGAUAGCUCAGGCAAAACUAUUACCUGGGUAUUUAUCCACUAAUGAGUCACAAGAAAAGGAGUGGAUUUGGUAAGAAUAGAGAUUUGUUUUAUUUAAACCACUUCCCAUUACUGACCAUUAAAAGCUCACCACUAGAGUUCCUGAAACAGGUGAAACCUGUAUGACAGCCCUUCCACUUUGGGGAGCCACGCUUUUGAUGUGACAGUACCGCAGAGUGAUUCCCCCACUGAGGAUGUCAUCAUCAAACUCUUCUUUGGUGUGUGAAUUAUUAGUGGAAAAGACCCAGCUGUAAUUAGACCUCCACUGUGUACUUAGCUGGAAGAACAUGUUAAUUCUGCAAUAUGUUUCUUGGUUAAACAUUGCACAGUUCUUACCUCAUUUCUGUAAAUAAAGUUUUGUGAAUCUGUUUUGUAUUGUGACAAAUUCAUAAGAUAACAUUGAUAUUUUGAUUUGUAAUAUUUCUAAUUGGUAGAUUUAAUUGAAAAGUAAAAUUAAUUUAUUUUUAUAUGUUCAGGGGAAUUUUAAAGUCAAAUCUUUUGUAGAUAAUUUAAAAAAUCAGUGUGGUUUAUUUUACUUAUUUAACCCACUGGUUGUUAUUCUGUAACAGUUUGUAUAAAUGGUAAAUUUUGAAUGUGUUGUUAUUUUACCUAGAUGUAAAAUUCCACAUGUAUUAAAAUGUACAAAAUGUUUUGUUAAUAAAAUUUAAUAAUGUUUAUAA